AUUGAACGCUGGCGGCAGGCCUAACACAUGCAAGUCGAGCGAGCGGCGGACGGGUGAGUAAUGUAUGGGGACUGCCCGAUAGAGGGGGAUAAGUAAUAGAAACGGUGGCUAAUACCGCUUAAUAUAGAAUAGCCCUUAUUGGAUUAGCUAGAAGGUGGGGUAAAGGAUCACCUAGGCGACGAUCUCUAGCUGGUCUGAGAGGGUGAUGAGCGACACUGGGACUGAGACACGGCCCAGACUCCUACGGAGGCAGCAGUGGGGAAUAUUGCACAAUGGGCGCAAGCCUGAUACAGCCAUGCCGCGUGUGUGAAGAAGGCCUUAGGGUUGUAAAGUACUUUCGGCGGGGAAGCGUUACCCGCAGAAGAAGCCACGGCUAACUCCGUGCCAGCAGCCGCGGUAAUAC
rnacentral:rRNA from 1 species